rnacentral:tRNA from 1 species
GCUUCGAUGGCGUAGUUGGUUAUCGCGUCCGCCUUACACGCGGAAGGUCGGCGGUUCGAACCCGUCUUGAAGUA